UACGUAGGGUCCGAGCGUUGUCCGGAAUUACUGGGCGUAAAGAGCUCGUAGGUGGUUUGUCGCGUUGUUCGUGAAAACUCACAGCUCAACUGUGGGCGUGCGGGCGAUACGGGCAGACUAGAGUACUGCAGGGGAGACUGGAAUUCCUGGUGUAGCGGUGGAAUGCGCAGAUAUCAGGAGGAACACCGGUGGCGAAGGCGGGACUCUGGGCCGAUACUGACGCUGAGGAGCGAAAGCGUGGGGAGCAAACAGG
rnacentral:rRNA from 1 species